rnacentral:pre_miRNA from 1 species
AUCACCUAGAGAUCUUAUUAAAAUGUAGAUUCUGAUCCAGUAAGUCUGGGUGGGGCCUGGAAUUCUACAUUUCUAAUAAGCUCCCAGGUGAUGCUCA